UGCCUGCCUCCCUCCCCGCCGCUACAUGCAGGCUUUAAUCGUUCUCAGUUACUCCAGCCUCUUCCUGUGCCGGCAGAAAAGCAAACCCCGCUACAACACUACUCGCUGGUGUGGGGGAAAUCUGAAUGGGCGCCGGCUGUGGGGAUCAGCGGAGAAGGCGCCUCCAAGGCACUGGAGCGCCCCCAGCACAUUUUGGCAGCUAAUGGGGAGAGGGGAGGCGCCUUCCAUUCCCUGCGCCAGGGAAAAUGGUUAAAUCCGUCACUUUCUGUUCAGAUUGACUAUAGGAGGAGGCCCACUGAGAGACCUUAAAGGCCAAGUUGAAGACAGAUCAUCCUGGAAAGAAUCUGUCUAUGUGGUCGCUAAGAGUCGACACCGACUUGACAGCACUUAAUCAAUCAAUCAAUAGAAGGAGGAUUCCGUGGCUCCUUCCGAGGGCUCCCUCCCUCGUCCCCGCAUUUUUAUUUCUUUUUUUUUUUCUUUUUCUUUUUUUUGGUGUACGUGAUUCCCAUUGGGACAAAGUUCUAAUCAACAAAACAAAGGAAUACUAGAUAGAAUACAACGCGGAACUCUAGAAAAGAUACAUACUUGAAGGGUUCACAGGUCUGAGGUCGGGAGCAGAGCUGAGGUUCCUUAUAUCGGUUAACGAGAGGGACUCUUGUGGUUGAUAGAGGGGUGCUUCCAGAGCCAAGGCCAGAGGAGUGUGUGGCGAAUGAUGUGCAACCCUAACUCCUCGAGGUCCAGGCACUGAGGGAGGAGAUCUGUGCCAUGAGAAGUAGCCUCCAUGAUGACGACACUCCCUUCCCACUCAUCAUAAUUAGAACCAGUCAGAUGCAAUGCUCUGAUUCAGUAUAUGGCAGCUUACUAUGGUCCUAUGUACUAGAAAGCAAGUUCCUAAUAAAUUC